rnacentral:rRNA from 1 species
CCUACGGGUGGCAGCAGUGAGGAAUAUUGGUCAAUGGCCGAGAGGCUGAACCAGCCAAGUCGCGUGGGGGAAGACGGCCCUAUGGGUUGUAAACCUCUUUUGUCGGGGAGCAAAGCGAACCACGUGUGGUUCAUUGCGUGUACCCGAUGAAAAAGCAUCGGCUAACUCCGUGCCAGCAGCCGCGGUAAUACGGAGGAUGCGAGCGUUAUCCGGAUUUAUUGGGUUUAAAGGGUGCGCAGGCGGGGGUGCAAGUCAGCGGUCAAAUGUGGGGGCUCAACCCCGUACUGCCGUUGAAACUGCAGCCCUUGAGUGCGCGAGAAGUAGGCGGAAUGCGUGGUGUAGCGGUGAAAGGCAUAGAUAUCACGCAGAACUCCGAUUGCGAAGGCAGCAUGCCGGAGCGCAACUGACGCUCAUGCACGAAAGCGUGGGUAUCGAACAGGAUUAGAUACCCUAGUAGUC